rnacentral:lncRNA from 1 species
GCAGUAUUCUCACUGUCCCCUAACAGUUCCAGCAAUAUGUUUAGGCAUGCAGUAUUCUCACUGUCCCCUAACAGUUCCAGCAAUAUGUUUAGGCAUGCAGUAUUCUCACUGUCCCCUAACAGUUCCAGCAAUAUGUUUAGGCAUGCAGUAUUCUCACUGUCCCCUAACAGUUCCAGCAAUAUGUUUAGGCAUGCAUGGUCUCCUCAUAUGUCAUUGAUAACACAUUGAUAGGCAAAGAUCACUGCAUAACCACAACCUGUCUAUUUUCUAGCCCACAUCUUCUGAGAUGGUGACUGAAAUAUCCUGAGCUUCUUUUAAAAAUGGACAGGCUAUGCUCAAUACAAAAUGGACAGGCUGCGCUCAAUACAAAAUGGACAGGCUAUGCUCAAUACAAAAUGGACAGGCUGCGCUCAAUACAAAAUGGACAGGCUAUGCUCAAUACAAAAUGGACAGGCUAUGCUCAAUACAAAAUGGACAGGCUAUGCUCAAUACAAAACGGACAGGCUAUGCUCAUAACAAAACGGACAGGCUAGGCUCAUAACAAAACGGACAGGCUCAUAAUAAAACGGACAGGCUCAUAAUAAAACGGACAGGCUCAUAAAACAGGUAGGUGUGCUAGAAGAGUAGGACAUAGGAAUGUAUUCCAGUGAUCACAUUCAGAGGCCUAAAAAAAUGUAACUUUAUUACCUAAAGAUCUAGGAUCAGAUUUAAUCCCAAUCACUAGUCAUCAAUAAUUAGCCAGAUGAAAAAUUAUCUUACGGUACCAGUGAAUCGGUCGUCACUAGUUAACACACCACAAGGCCCAUCUACCCGACCAAUCAGAUGGAGUGUGAUGGCAUUAUCCCGUGUUCACGUGCUAGUCGGAACUAGGAAAGUCUGAAAUUUACCACUUUCUAUGUUCAACGCAGCACAUGUAUUUUUUAUUUAUUUUUAACCUUUAACUAGGUAAGUCAGUUAAGAACAAAUUC